GUUUCCGUAGGUCGCUAGAGUUCAGCCUACCAAAGCAAACCUUUCAAAACUGCUCGUCUCUCCCCGAGGCGACACGCUCAAUGUUGCGGAGAGGCCCUCUUUUCAGAGGGUAAUCCGCAGCCGGCCCCCUAAAGGCUGGUUCAGAGACUCAAUGAGUGUGGGUUUGGCCUUUUGGCCAGGCUUAAGAUAGAGCCCGUCCCUGUAGGCAACUGCGGGGGAUGAACGGAACCUGCGGAAGGAUCAUUAAAGAAUCGGUGACCCUCGCGGUCCCAUUCUCACCCUUUGUAUACCAAACUUCAGUUGCUUUGGCUGGCCUUCGCGGGCCGGCCAGAGGACUCAAACCCUUGAAUCUUUGCUGUCUGAGUACUAUAUAAUAGUUAAAACUUUCAACAACGGAUCUCUUGGUUCUG
rnacentral:misc_RNA from 1 species